rnacentral:rRNA from 1 species
GAUGAACGCUGGCGGCGUGCCUAAUACAUGCAAGUCGAGCGAACAGAUGAGGAGCUUGCUCCUUUGACGUUAGCGGCGGACGGGUGAGUAACACGUGGGUAACCUACCUAUAAGACUGGGAUAACUUCGGGAAACCGGAGCUAAUACCGGAUAAUAUUUCGAACCGCAUGGUUCGAUAGUGAAAGAUGGCUUUGCUAUCACUUAUAGAUGGACCUGCGCCGCAUUAGCUAGUUGGUAAGGUAACGGCUUACCAAGGCAACGAUACGUAGCCGACCUGAGAGGGUGAUCGGCCACACUGGAACUGAGACACGGUCCAGACUCCUACGGGAGGCAGCAGUAGGGAAUCUUCCGCAAAGGGCGAAAGCCUGACGGAGCAACGCCGCGUGAGUGAUGAAGGUCUUCGGAUCGUAAAACUCUGUUAUUAGGGAAGAACAAACGUGUAAGUAACUAUGCACGUCUUGACGGUACCUAAUCAGAAAGCCACGGCUAACUACGUG